UUUUUUUAAAAUUCCAAAAUACCCUUUCACAUUGCACCGCACUCAUACCUUGUCCUAUGUUCUUCGUUGAGCUUCCCUGUCGCCGCGUUUCCUCCGCUUGGCAUCCGUCGCUGGUCGUCUGCCGUCACUUAUCGUAACCCUGGUGUGUUCCACUACUCGCAGAAUGCCACGCCGCUCCUCCAUCGCCAUUCCCUUCGCCUCCCUUUCGCUCGCGUUCGUCGUCGCCAUUCCCUUCGCUUAUUCACACGCGUUUGUCAUCGCCGUCCCUUUUGUUGGCAUCCCGUCGCUGCGCCGUCCCCAUUGAAUUUGAUAUUUAUCUUUGAAUUUUGUUUAAUGUUCCCCAUCCAUCUUCUGUUACAAUUGCUCUCGAAAAAGGAUUUUAGCAAGAAAAACAUAGAUAAACUGGGACACGAAGUUUAUGAGCCUUUGGAUGUGAUCUCUUCCCACCUCUGCAUCUAAUCUAUGCUGAGAAUCCUAGUGAUUCUAGGAAGACAUUGGUUCGGUACCAGUUACAGACAUUGCUCUUUCAAAAAUUUUUUCGGCUCAGAAACCGACAGUUAUCAAUGUUAUUGUUGAUCCUUUGUUAUUGUUGAUCCCUAUGCUGGUUCAGAGAAUGAGAGGUUGCAACACAAGAACUAAUUUUUAAAUUAUCUGUAUUACACUAAAAUUACGUUUUUUUAUGGUUUUUGUUUUUAAAUUUCAAAUUUUAAUAACACAAAUUAUAUAGUCUUGUGAUUUUUAUGGAGUACCAUGAUAUGAUAAAGACAAAUUAUAUUCCAUGAAUCCACACAGAUGUAAAAUGUUAUAUGAUCAUAAUGAAUACUUGAAUGAUAGAAGCUGAAUUUUAUAUAUA